UACAGAGGGUGCGAGCGUUGUCCGGAAUCACUGGGCGUAAAGGGCGCGCAGGCGGCUCAUUUUGUCAGGCGUGAAAGCCCCGGGCUUAACCUGGGAACUGCGUUUGAUACGGAUGGGCUAGAGUUCGGGAGAGGAGAGUGGAAUUCCCAGUGUAGAGGUGAAAUUCGUAGAUAUUGGGAAGAACACCGGUGGCGAAGGCGGCUCUCUGGACCGAUACUGACGCUGAGGCGCGAAAGCGUGGGGAGCAAACAGG
rnacentral:rRNA from 1 species